AUGAUAGCCACCUAUGGCUCCUUUUGUAACACAAACAUAAUACUUCUUUGCAUAAAUGGAUCUAGUCGUGUGUGGUUUCAUCAUGCUAUGGCAGCUCCUUCAGACAACAUUUCAUCGUUUGUGGCUCCGCAAGCUAAUAAUACAUGGCAUAGGUUCUGUCCUAUUGGCUUGGUACGUUCCAUAUCCCCUUCCCGAGUCUGCCCUGCUCUGCUCUGCUCAUCUGAUAUGUACAUUUUGGCUCACGGCCAUGGCCUCCCCCAAAUUUUGCUCAAUUCAUUAACUAGGCAAGUUGGUUUGGUGGCUGACUGUUGCUGCAUGAAACUGCUCAAUUAUUUGUCCUUCCCAAUACCAGCCUCUGAUCAGUACAGGUUGGAGGGACAUUUCCGGAAUCACAUAUAUAUAGUGGUUGCUUCCAAAUGA
rnacentral:rRNA from 1 species